AUGACUCAACAGCAAGGCCAAAACUCCAGCGAAUACUUGCCAUCGUCCGGCCCCAGCGCACACCUCCCUCCCCGCCGGCGGCCACUCCGGCCCCGGCGUCCACCCUCUGCUCCGAUGGCCUCGGGCUCGCGAAGCCCCCCUUCGGUGUCCUCGACCUUUCCUCGGGAGCGUCCGAUUGUCUCUGGGCUGGGGCUCUCGGGGUCGCCUGGCUCGGCGCGCUCCUCAUCGGCGGGUGUCGCUCCGGCGGGUGCUGGGGCUUCGGCUCCGGACCAGGCUUGGCGCCAGAAAGGGCCGUCCCGGAAGGCCAUGUGGCGUCGCCGGAAGGCGCUCCGUCGUCAGCAGGAGGCUGGCGACGGCCGCCGGAGCUCCUCGCCCUCGUCUUCUUCUCUGCGCCGCGAGAUUCCUCAGGACAUGUAUGGACUCUGCUUUCGCUGUUUCAAGGAGGGGCAUCAGCGGCAAGACUGCACCAACGACCCUGUUUGCAUUCGCUGCGGCCUGUCGGGGCAUGUCUCGUCGCAGUGCAAGAGACCCAGGAGCCCGACCCCGGAGGAUGAGCUCCGUCGCGCUGUGAUUGCUAAGGUGUCCGGGACGAUGCCGGCGCCGCCAGCGGCUGCGGCCAUGGGGCGGACAUUGCAGGAGCCUGGACAGAGUGCGCCGCGUGCGUUAGCUCUGUCAGUUGCGCCCAAUCUCCCCCUCGUGAUGGCCGGCGUGGCCUCCCCGGCCGCGCAGGCUGGCAUCUGUGUUCUGCAACGCUCUCCGGGGAUGGACGAGCUUGAGCGCAGGCUGCAGCUCGCGGUUUUGAUGUACGUUGGUGGAGCUAGGCCGCCGGUGUCAUGUGAGGACGCGGCGGUCGCCAUCUCGCGCCAGCUUGACACACCGCGGCACCGAUUCUCCGUGCACAAGUACCACCCCGAGGAUUUUCUGGUUGUGUUUGCGUCGCAUGAGCUCCGGAACAGAGCGCUGGGUGCCCCCGUGAUCGAGCAUGACAGUUUCAAGCUCUUCGUCAAGCCCUGGCUUCGUCAAGCUCAAGCGAAAUCCAGGAUCAUGCGGACACAGGUGGAUAUCAUGAUUGAGGGAGUUCCGUCGCAUGCCUGGUCGCGUGGCAUGGCGGCCGAGCUCCUUGGGGAUUCUUGCUGGAUCGAUAGCCUGGCUCCGGAAACUGCUAGCCGAGAAGAUCUCUCUCUGUUCAAGCUUCGAGCGUGGUGUGUGGAUCCGGACGAGGUGCCGGUUGCCAAGCGGCUGUGGGUGCCUGAGCCGCCGGAGCAGAUGCCAGACCCCGCGGCGCGCCGUCCAUCCUUCCUGCAAUUGCUGGAGUACCCCACCAUCAUUCACAUCAGGCGGAUGAGGGAUUUCUCCGCUCCGGAUCUUUGGAGAAGGGAAGGGAGCUCGGAUGACAGUGGGCAGAGCGGGCUGCCGGAUGACUCCGACGAUCUGGGCCCCGGUGGUGACGUGCAAGUGCUUCCCUGGACGCGAGGAGUUCUGGAUGACCGCGGUGCUGGUCGGCGUUCGUUCGGUCCGGCGGCAGGAGGCGGCGGUGGCCGUUCCUACCGGCAAGCCCUGGCUGGCCGUGUGGGGCCCUUGGACUGGAGGAUUCCGCCAAUGAUGGCAGAGCUGUCCGUUAAAGCUACUGAUGGGGCCCCUCAUGUGCCAGGCUCGGGAAGACCAGGAAUUUCGAAUCCGAGGCCAUGCCCGGCGGUGCCGUUGGCGAAUCCGAUGCCAACACUUGGCAUCCCAUCGCCGGCGGAUCAGAGCAACACAGGAGUUGGAGGUGCUUUUGACUCGGUCGUGUCCGCUGUCCCAGGUGCGCAGAUGGUGGAGCCGACACUUUUGGUAGGCGGACAGGCCAAUCAUUUGGUGGAGAUUGCGGUGGAGCCUUCAAGAGACCACGGUCUGGCAGUUGCGGAUCCCACGCCGGUUCCUCUGGCCGUCCCAUCGGUAGCUGGGCUGGCAAAGCCAGCUUCGGUGGGGGAGUCGCAGAUCCCAGAGCUGAGGUCAGACAUGACUGAGUCUAUGACUGCCAAGGAGGUGGAACCAGUGGGGCCGUCUGCCGCACUCAUGGACACGACGGAUCCCAUGCCCCAGGAUGGUGGUGUGGCAGCCUCUGCUGUCGCUACAAACCUGGGUUCGGAGGCGCACUUAAUCCGGCCAGAAUUGCUGCAUGCCACGCAACCCGAGACGAACGGCUGGCAGCCUAUGGAGGAGCUCAUCCCACCCAGUUGCCCCGCGGGCCCAGAUAUCGGUGCGUUGGUUGGAUGUGCCAGCGCGGAUGAUCACCAGGACGGGUCGCCCCAGACUGAUGUGGUGGUGGGGCCGCCUAGGGAUCUGGUUGAUGUUGCAUGUGCAUGUGACAUGACUACGUCGCACAGCAUGCAAAUCGUGGUCUCGUCGCAGGAAUGGGGCGUCCAAGGGACGGGAGUUCUGCCGGAAGGAGAUAAACUCACUGAGAAAGAACAGGUCGCCUUGGGCAACAUCAAAACUUUCUGCACUGGGCUUCUCAAGAAACUUGCCCCCCCCCCCCGCUGCUAA
rnacentral:rRNA from 1 species